GAGGGUUUGGAUGAGAUGUACAGAAUACAGAAUAAAUUGAUUGACAGAAAGUGCUGAAGUAAAGGAAUAGAGAAAAUAGUGUAUAGUUGGGUGUCGAAAUUUCAUAUACUGUAAACCAACUAAAUUUCGCAAGCGAUUUAUUUUCGUGAGUGGAAAAAUAACACGAAAUUAAAUUGUUGCGAAAAUGUAUAACUUCGAUCUUUCCCUAUCAAACUACAUCAAGUAAAUAAGAAAAUCGUGAAAUUAAAUUGCAGUGAAAUUGACUAGCUGGGGAUACAUGGGAAAUAAAGUAUCCGCGAAAAUAAGUUGGUUUACAUUAAUUAAAGCACACAAUAAAGAAAGGAUGGGGGAAAAUAAUUUUAAAAAUUAUAGAAUACAGAAAUGAAAAACUCAUCCAGAAACCUCCAUAAAGACCAAUGUAUUUACAAUUCAGGACACAUUGUUUGUCUAUUCUUUUGUUUAAAAUAAGGUUGAACACAAUUCACGAAGAGAAGGGGUUUAUGAAUUAAGCUUGAACACAAUUCACGAAGAGAAGGGGUUUAUGAACUAAGCUUGAACACAAUUCACGAAGAGAAGGGGUUUAUGAACUAUGAACUAAGCUUGAACACAAUUCACGAAGAGAAGGGGUUUAUGAACUAAGCUUGAACACAAUUCACGAAGAGAAGGGGUUAAUGAUCAUGCUAAUUUCUAAACAAUUAUUUUU
rnacentral:lncRNA from 1 species